CCGCGGGGCUCUCCGCUGUUCUCCCUCCCGAGCGUGCGUGUCCCCCGGCAGCCGGCGUGCGCUCGGCGCUGGAGCGCAUCCGGAGCGGCCGCGCAGCCGGCUGCCGGCUUUAGGAGUUCAUCGGGGCUCUCCGCUGGCUGUGGAAAUGUCUGUGCAUCAUCCUCCUCCUCCUGCCAGCCCGGCGGCUCACCAGGUACAGCGGCCGCAGGCAGGAGCCCGCCGCUCCGGUCGCAGAACUCAGCUUCUUGCGUUGGUUGGUUGGUUUGUUUCCUUAGGAAACUUUCGUCCUUGCGCGUUUCGGGUCCCUGUGGGGGUCACUCAUCCACCCGGCUGCCGGAACCUGAAGGACGUGAAAUCCAAAGAGAGCCAGCACAUCAGCAGAGGAACCGGAGGUCCAAAUAUCCCCGUGGCUAAUCAAAGGAGACUGGGACGUUUGCAACCAGAGUCUUUUGUCUUUAAGGUGUCAUUAUUGAUUUCCUUUGAACCGUUCUUUUCAAAUACUGGAUGAAGGCAUAAGGUCAAGAACCCACAGGACCUGUCUCAAAGACAUGAGCUGUGCUUCUUGUCAGGAAUAACCCUCUUCCAAGUGAAACACCUGCAGGUCUGGUGAUACAGAACCUGGCAAUGCCAAACGUGCAAGACCAAGAGGUGCACACGUGUGUAUUCAGGACACGAACCUGCAGCUUUAACUUACGUGUGCUUGUUGUCGUGGCUGUUUCUGCAGGCUGAAUUUUCUGUCAGCCGGAUUUUGUGCGGUAUUAUACAUGAGCUUUGCGUAUAAAUUUCAACACUAUUCAGCUUUGCUAAAGCAGGGUUGCUGACUGACAGAACAGCUACAUAAUAGCCAAGUUUGCCGCUAAUAUUGCCUGCAAUAGUAGGGGCAAACAUUAGAAAGUUCAUUUUGAUUGUUAUGUUACAAUGUUCUUAUUUUACAAAACAAACAA